AGAAAAAUAUCAAAUUCAACCGCCAACAAAUUUUUGCAAUUCAACCAUUUUGUGCAAAAUCUAAACUUAAAAAACUAUUUUAAAUUGCUUUGAAUUUAAAAAAGAAAUGUGGAAUAAUUUCGAACAAUCUCCUCUAGAAGAUGAGACCAUAUCAAAUGCUUUCUCUUCCCGGGGCAUUUUUCGCAUAACCAGUGAUGAUGAGGUUACCCAAUAUCCUCAGGUUCAGGCUUCGGUACAAAAUACCAAAAUGGUUAUAGCCAUUGAUAAAACUAUAUUUUUAUUGGAAGAUGAAAUGAUUGCGAAAUGUAGUUUGCUAACAUUUAACACUAACAUUGAUGUCCUGGCCAUUUCACAGACGGGCAACUUGAUUGUUUGUGGUUUAAGUGAUGGUGAAAUACAUGGUAUUUUCAUUAAGGGCAUACCAUUGUUUAGUCAAAAUAUUAAGCAGAACGAUGUUAAUUUGAUUGGUGGUAAAACCUUUGCGGGAAUUCAACAAGUGGGCAAUAAUUUCUGUUUGACUUGUACAAAUGGUAGUGUUUAUAGCCUUUCUGAAAUUGAUGAAUCUUGCUUGGAAUCCUAUUUGAAUAUAUCGUUAAAUGAAAAUGAAACCAUGUCUUUUGCGGAAAAUCUUUACAAUGAUGUUGCUCUCAAACGUUUAUUUGGUAUAAGAGGUCUAAGUGAAAUUACUGCUGCCUUAUUGAUAAAUCAAAAUUUUGAUUUCUUUAAUUCUCAAUUACCCGAAAAGGAUCCCUUACUAAUAGCUGGUACACAUAAUUCCAUCUACAUGCGUUCCUCCCAAGAUGAUGUAGUGCGUAUUAAUAUACCGGAAAGUUAUCGGGGUGUUAAAAAUAUCUAUAAUCUUGAGAAUUUCAUUAUUAUUUUAACCAAUUCGGGUCAUUUAUUGGAGCUGUGUCCUUUUACUAAAAUUCUAUUCUUUGCCUCUUCAACGCAAGAGAUUUUAAUAGAUGAUUUGAUUGUCAUGGAAUGUAGUGAUGAAAAUAUCGAAUUAUUAACUCUUACUAAACGUUCUGAGGAUCACGAGAGAUCCAUUAAGAUUGUGGAUUAUCCGGCUCUCAAAUGCCACAAUGAAUUGGAUGUUACUGAACACUCCUGGCUGGUUCAACAGCCCAAAUGUUCAGUGAAUUUAUAUUAUUUUAGUUGUUUACAGUGUAAUGUAAAUAAUUUUCCUUCGGUUUUGGAAAUGCUAUCGGUGUCGGAAACCCAUCCCAGUGAACGUUUUAAGAAAUUAAUAGCCAAGGGCCAUUUGGAAGAGGCAGAGGUUUUUGGUACUCAAUUUGAACUGUGUUUACAACCAAUUUACGAAGCUAAAGCUAAAAAGAUUUUAGUAGAAAUGGAUAGUUUGGGGGAGAACAACCCUGACAUGGUAAACGAGCUUUUUAUGGAGCUAAUGAAACUUUUACAAAACAUACAGAAUAAAGAUUUCUUUAGGCAAAAUCGUAUGUUUAAUUUGCCUACACGCAAAACAUUGGAAAGAUAUUUGAAAGAAGUUCUUACUCAUCUAGAUGAAGAGGACGAUGAACAAAAUAUUUUGGAAAUAGUCGAACAAUUAGAUCGUCUUAAAACCUUGGCCAUCAUAGAUCCUUACGAAAUUAAUCAUGAAUGGCAAAAAUUUGUCUAUCACCCAAAUUUAAUCAAGUAUAUAACUUCGUUAUUUAAGUCCGACAUGCCGUUGGCCUGUUUAAUUUGGAAAAGACAUUCGAGUGCUUUAUUGCCACAGUUGACGGAAAACAAAUUGCGUGAACUUUUAAAUCUCAUACCCAAUGACACGAAACCUUUUAAUCUCCUGCAAUGGCUAAGACAAUUCGUGCCCAUUGUCAGUAAUACACAUCCCAAUAUUAUGCCUUUCAUAACGGAAUGGAGUAUACAAAAAAUAAGAUCUUUACAAUAUGCUGAACAUUGGCCGGAAAUUGGUUUGGAAUUUUCCACAAAAGUUACCGAAAUAUUUGAAGAUAUGCAUUUUAUGCAUUCGGAUGUUAGAAGGCAAUAUGAACGUAAUAUAGGCAAAUUAAGAGAUGUGGUUAAUGCUUUGGAGGAUUUGUUUGUUUUGAAAAAAAGUUAUAAUUUAAUAUUUACCUUGGAUAACUAUUUGCAAGACAGUGUAGAUGAAACGGCCAAGUGUAUUUUAAUGCGUGUACAUUUGGAUAAUCUUAAAAGUUUAGUCAAUGACUUUCUAUAUCCGAUUUAUCAAGAGAAAGGCACCUCUCCAGUGGCAGCCAUACGCCGUUAUAUAUCUUUAUUGGUGGCUAGUAGAAAUUCCUUUUCCACUUGGCUAGAGAGAUCAGUGGCCUGUAUAGAACUUUUGCACAAUGAAGACGAUCGUUUAGAAUCUGCUUUAUUAGUAUUGCAGAAUUCCCCUGUACCCUGGCCCGAAACGGUGGCACCUUUAAUCAAGUUACGUUACUCUACCCAUCCCUUGGCUUUGAAAAUCAACACUGAAUAUGAAAUUCAAGUUAUCAAGAUAAUGAAGGCUAAAUACGGUUGGCCCACAGAUGUGGCUUCUGAUAUUAAUUUAAAUUUGUUUAUGUUUCGUAUUAUAAAAAUGGAUUUGCCUGACAUGUUGGAAGAUAUUAAAGUGCUUACUAAGGCUGCGCCGGAAAUAGCUAAUGGCGCCAAUUCUAAUUGUUGUUAUGAAAUGGUUAAACGUGGAAAACUCGAUGUGGCUUAUGAAUUUUUCAAAACCCUAAAGGCCGAUAAGAAUUCGAAAUAUGCUGUAGAAGUUACAGAUUUUUUUGCGGUACUUUUGGAAAAUUCUCCUUGCAAUUGGAAUGAAAACGAGGAAGAACAACGCAACUUAAUAGAAUUUUAUAAACUUAUCUCACCGCUUAAUGAUAAUUCCUUUCAGAAACGUGUAAAAGCCAUUGAAAAUUGUUUUGUUUUAAAACAUAAAUAUGAUUUACAAAUCACCGAUAUGAAACAAUUGGUUUUAUAUGAACAUCGUCUUAAAUUGCUAGAUGAUGGCAUAGAGAAUAUCAUUAAACGUUCACAGCCUGGUGAUAGUAUUUGUAAAUACUUUACCGCCGAAAUAAGUGAGCUAUCAACGGCUUUGAGUUUUCCCAAAAUGUUUGGCGUAAAACGUUUGUGUCAACGCAUGAAAUGUUUAAUAUUAUCCUGUGCUCUCACCUAUAAUAUCAUGCAAAUUGCUGAUUGUAAUAAAGAAAAUAAAGAUGUUUAUAUAGAAAUGGCUUUAGAGCUAUUAAGCCAACAGAUACAACUUACUAAAGGUUCCCAAUCGAGUACAUUAACUGCCCUGUUGAACGACAAUGAUCCUUUGGCUUUUCCACUGGCCUAUAAAUUGCUAGUGAAAGCUUCACUCUUUGAGAGUACACAAAAUUGUGAUCUUGUUGAGUUGAUUAAUUAUGUGCGUAUUGCUAGAACUACUUAUUCCUUAAAUGAGAUUGAAAGUUUCUAUGAGAGUCGUGAAAAGGAAAUAUCGAAAUUGAUAUGUGAGGCAAUAGAUGCUUCGGAUAUUGCGGUGGGUGAUGCUACUUUGAAUUUUACUGCGGCAAUGAAUAAUUCAUUUGAUGUAAAACCAGAAAAACCGAAAAAGAGAUAUUCUGUGUCGCUGUUUGAUGAGGUGUUGCCACCGCCCCAGCAACAAAUACAAAAUAAAGUCACCUAUAGUGAACAUUUACAUAUUGUCAAAUUCCUAUCACGUACCCUAUUCUUUCUGGUCAUAAGCACACCAUCCACAAAUGAUCAAUUUGCAAAAUUAAAAGAUUUGAUUAUAAAAACAGGCGAUUCUUCUAUAGAUACCGAUUUGGAUAGUGCUAAGAAUGAUUUCUUUUUAUCACUCGAACAUUUGAUAAAAAAUAAAAUGCAUGAUGUUUGGUAUAUAAUAGCGCAAUAUCUAUUGGACUAUCAGAAAAGACACAAUUGCAAAUUAAUAAAUGGAGACUUUAUAUCAUUGCAAAUGGUAAGAGUAUUUAGGAAUAUAAUGUCACACAAAGAGGUUAACUUUUUAGAGUUGUUUGUUAUGCUUACGGCUGAUUCUUAUUCGAAAAUAUUAUUGGAAAAAUUGGAAAAUGAUUUAAGAACCGAUCAACAAAAAGUCAAUUUAUUAACUUUGUCUGAAAUGUAUAAUGUACACUUUGAGGAAAUGGCCAAUGUGGAAGCCAUAAGAAAUAAACGCAUUAAACAUUAUUACUAUUUGGAAUUUUGUAAACAAGAUCCUACGAUUAAGGGUAAAUUUAAUGCUGAAAUCGAUGGUAUAGAACAGUUAUUGAAAGAAUUUCAUAACAAACAAUUGGAUGUUCUUCUAUUGGAACGCAUGAGUAGAGAUUUUCAAUUGGAUUAUCAGAAAAUGUUGGUAACACAGGUGGUGAGCAUUUUACAGGCACAAGAAAUGCAAUAUGAAAUUAAAACUGAUGCUUUUGGUGAUGAAGAGUUGGUAAUGAUUACCACUGUGGAGAAUAUUCGUAAUUUAUGUCAACCUUAUAUAAAUGCAAUUAAAAAUACCGACUUAUUAACAUCGAAACUUAAACAAUUUAUAGAUGAGAUCCACAUCUAUUUCUAUGAAUUAUACUUGUGUGUCAUCGAAAUUCUGCUUCAUUUCGAUGCUGUGCCUAAAGAAAUGCAAGUCUGGACAAGUAUUUUGCUUUUCCUAAAACACAAAAUGACCACAAGGCGUCGUAAUCGUCCGGGACAGUUGGAAACAGAUAUGUGGUUUGAAUCGCAAAAAGAAAUUGGUGUUUUACCCAAGAUUUCACGUUAUCGUUUGCCCUUCAAACCCAUAGUUGAGCAACCGUUAAAAGAUAUCCUAGAUACCGAGCUAAAUGUGGAUAAUUGUGAGAGUUGGUUUCCUCUUAUACAAAUGCAUAUGAUGCUGAAAGGUUCUACAGAUAUAGCACAUAAUUGUGACUAUUUCUGUAUGUCGGCAGUGAAAAAUUCCAUAGGAGAAUAUAAAAAUCGAGAUGAUACAGAGACAUGGCAUUUGCAGCCCACAAAUAAUGCUUUCUUGAAAUCGAUCUUGCGUUUGGUUGAACAUGUACAUAAUCCUUCUAAGGCUUUUAUGAUUUUAUAUUUUGUUUCGAACUAUGCUCCCGAUGGAGCCGAUCAAGUCGAGGCUUCAUAUGAAUGUUAUAAAUUCGCUUUGAAAAAUGAAAAACUUAUAACAGAUCCUAAAUGUCAAGAGCAACUAUCGAAAAUUAAACGCAAAUAUCCUACACUCAAGACACAACAUUUACUUUAUGUUUAUGGUUUAACGGAUGAAAAACUCAUGCGUUUAAUUGAGAAUCCCUCAGAUUUGAUAUAUCAUUUGUAUCAUCUGGAUAUCAUACUAAAAGGAGGUAAAUUGGAUAUAAAUGCAGUUGUUAAGGAAAUUGCAGAACUACAUCAGCUGAAUGUGGAACCAAUACAAUAUAAAUUGCUGCAAAAAUGGCUAUCAUUUACGGUGGAUCAACCAGAUGGCACGAUAUUAGAUGAGACCUUGUUUGAAGAUCAAAAUCUAUCUGAGAAUAGUAGCGAAGAGUUUAAUAAUGCAGCAGAAAAUGUUAUAAGAGCUAAUUACAUUAUCAACAGCUGGCCCAUAGAGAUGGCUGUGCAAUAUUUGGUGGCCAAUAUCUUUCCACCAGAUGGCUCGGUCAAUACCUCUAAACAAUUGCAAAUGUAUGAGUGUUAUUUCAAACUCUAUGAUGGCAGCAGUACAUCCUUCGAUAAUAUGUUUAGCCAAAAGCAAUAUAUCACCAUUAAAUGUGUACAUGAGCUUAAGAAAUUGGGUUACAAUUCUAGUUUGGAUAAAUUUGCUGAAAGCAAUAAAAUCGAUAUACUCAAAACUAUAUGGCAAAGAAAAUCUCACAAUCCAAAUACUUUACAGAUAUUGGCGAAUAUUUGUUUAGGUUUUGAUAUUUAUUUAUCGAAAAUAUGGAAUGGUAUAUUAAAACGUAUGGUUAUGUUGAAUAUGGUUAAAGAUUUGAAUGCUUUGGUCGAUGUUCUAUCCUGUAAGCCCCAACUAUUGCAUACAGAAGGUUUAAUAAUGGCUUGGGAUUGUGUUUUAUUGGAACCCUUUAAAAAUGCCAAUCAAACGAAAUCUUUUGAACAGGAGGAACAAUUGCAUAAGACUUUAUUUAGAUUACAGAGUUGUCCCGUUGUCCAUUCCCUUAACUUAUUUAGAUUUGCUGAAACUUGUUUGCGUUUAGAUCGUCCUCAUAUGGCGGCGGUAUUUUUGGCAUUUUGUCGAGCCGAUGAACAAAAAACACAAAUCAAAAGGCUUAUUACUUUGCGCAACGAUAAAAUGCGCAAUGACAUUUUGGAUUUGGAAGAUGCUGGUAUUUUGCCGUUUGUUUUAAAUUUUGCUCUUAAAGAGUUAAAUUUAUAAAUUGUAUAAAAAUGUUUUUUUUAUAUAUGUAAAAUUUAAGAUGUGAAUUUAUCGCAAAUAAAAGACGAAUGAAUAAGUCUUUAGU